GUUAAUCUGUACUUUCUGUUUUGCCCGGUCGUAAAAAAAUCGUACGGUGCAAUUUUUGUUAAAUCAAGGUCAAAGGUCAUGAAAAAAAAUUCCAAUUUUUGCGAUUACUAAAUAAAACGCCAUUUUCUAAUUCUUGUACCAUAAAAUUUUCCAGAAGAUCAUAUGAACUUUAUGGAACAUGAUACAUAAUUUCCAAAUCAAACAAAAAAUAAGAGAUUCGAUGCGC
rnacentral:lncRNA from 1 species